rnacentral:rRNA from 1 species
CCUACGGGAGGCAGCAGUGAGGAAUAUUGGUCAAUGGACGAGAGUCUGAACCAGCCAAGUAGCGUGAAGGAUGACUGCCCUAUGGGUUGUAAACUUCUUUUAUAUGGGAAUAAAACGUUCCACGUGUGGGAUUUUGUAUGUACCAUAUGAAUAAGGAUCGGCUAACUCCGUGCCAGCAGCCGCGGUAAUACGGAGGAUCCGAGCGUUAUCCGGAUUUAUUGGGUUUAAAGGGAGCGUAGGUGGAUUGUUAAGUCAGUUGUGAAAGUUUGCGGCUUAACCGUAAAAUUGCAGUUGAAACUGGCAGUCUUGAGUACAGUAGAGGUGGGCGGAAUUCGUGGUGUAGCGGUGAAAUGCUUAGAUAUCACGAAGAACUCCGAUUGCGAAGGCAGUUCACUGGACUGCAACUGACACUGAGGCUCGAAAGUGUGGGUAUCAAACAGGAUUAGAUACCCGUGUAGUC